AAUGAACGCUGGCGGCAGGCCUAACACAUGCAAGUCGAGCGAGCAUUUCGGUGCUAGCGGCGGACGGGUGAGUAACGCGUGGGAACGUGCCCUUUUCUGCGGAAUAGUCUUGGGCAACUGGGGGUAAUACCGCAUACGCCCUUUUGGGGAAAGAAUUAUCGGAGAAGGAUCGGCCCGCGUUGGAUUAGGUAGUUGGUCGGGUAAUGGCCCUCCAGGGCGACGUUCCAUAGCUGGUUUGAGAGGAUGAUCAGCAACCCUGGGACUGAGACACGGCCCAGACUCCGACGGGAGGCAGCAGUGGGGAAUCUUAGACAAUGGGGCAACCCUGAUCUAGCCAUGCCGCGUGAGUGAUGAAGGCCUUAGGGUUGUAAAGCUCUUUCAGCUGGGAAGAUAAUGACGGUACCAGCAGAGGAAGCCCCGGCUAACUCCGUG
rnacentral:rRNA from 1 species